rnacentral:tRNA from 1 species
GGGAAUGUGGCUUAGUGGUAGAGUGCUUGCCUAGUAAGCAUGAAGCCCUUAGGUUCAUUUCCU